rnacentral:rRNA from 1 species
GACGAAGGGGGCUGGCGUUGUUCGGAAUCACUGGGCGUAAAGCGCACGCAGGCGGAUCGAUAAGUUGGGGGUGAAAGCCCGGGGCUCAACCUCGGAAUUGCCUUCGAUACUGUCGGUCUCGAGUCCGGGAGAGGUGAGUGGAAUUCCUAGUGUAGAGGUGAAAUUCGUAGAUAUUAGGAAGAACCCCAGUGGCGAAGGCGGCUCACUGGCCCGGUACUGACGAUGAGGCGCGAAAGAGUGGGGAGCAAACAGG